GCCCUUUGCAGCGCCGCGCGGAUCGCCUACAUUACGGGUGUCUCGGCAACGGGACUAUGGACAUAAACGCGCUCGGAAUAAGCGGAUCGGACCCGGGGGCGGUACCCGGCGGCUCCACCAAAUCAUCCCGUCGUUGGGGGGACCAUGGGGCCGAAAUAGGAUCGACGAACGUCUAAAGGGGUGGCUUUGUCCCGGUGAGGUACCACCGUUAUCGGUCCGUAAAGCAUAAUUGCCAACGACAAUCGUGCUCCGGUUGCCCUCGCUGCGUAAGCAGUGCGGAAAACCGAAAUCUAAGCCCUUGCGCCUAGCAGCGUAAGGCGGGGUUCGCAGGCACCUGGCAACAGAAGCCUGCACU
rnacentral:tmRNA from 1 species